UGACUUGUAAAAUAAUUGAAGAGGAAGGCCGUACAAUGUCCGUACCCUGGGAGGAAUAUCCGGCCGAGUUUAAAAUUAUAAAAAUGGUGGAAAGGCACGAAAGUGAAAGAAAUGAACCCCCCUCGGCUGCACGUGUGAAAUUGGCUGCGCCGCUGCAAUUGCAAACCCUGCGAAGCCACAAACUGUGUCCGACUGCAGCCUUUUGAUGGAAAAUGGAUCAUCGAUUACGUCCGAUCACGACUCACUGACUGAAUCUU
rnacentral:lncRNA from 1 species